rnacentral:rRNA from 1 species
GAACGGGGGCGGCGUGCUUACCAUGCAAGUCGAACGAUGAAGCCCAGCUUGCUGGGUGGAUUAGUGGCGAACGGGUGAGUAACACGUGAGUAACCUGCCCCUGACUCUGGGAUAAGCGUUGGAAACGACGUCUAAUACUGGAUAUGACUACUGGUCGCAUGGCCUGGUGGUGGAAAGAUUUUUUGGUUGGGGAUGGACUCGCGGCCUAUCAGCUUGUUGGUGAGGUAAUGGCUCACCAAGGCGACGACGGGUAGCCGGCCUGAGAGGGUGACCGGCCACACUGGGACUGAGACACGGCCCAGACUCCUACGGGAGGCAGCAGUGGGGAAUAUUGCACAAUGGGCGAAAGCCUGAUGCAGCAACGCCGCGUGAGGGAUGACGGCCUUCGGGUUGUAAACCUCUUUUAGUAGGGAAGAAGCGAAAGUGACGGUACCUGCAGAAAAAGCACCGGCUAACUACGUGCCAGCAGCCGCGGUAAUACGUAGGGUGCAAGCGUUGUCCGGAAUUAUUGGGCGUAAAGAGCUCGUAGGCGGUUUGUCGCGUCUGCUGUGAAAUCCCGAGGCUCAACCUCGGGCUUGCAGUGGGUACGGGCAGACUAGAGUGCGGUAGGGGAGAUUGGAAUUCCUGGUGUAGCGGUGGAAUGCGCAGAUAUCAGGAGGAACACCGAUGGCGAAGGCAGAUCUCUGGGCCGUAACUGACGCUGAGGAGCGAAAGCGUGGGGAGCGAACAGGAUUAGAUACCCUGGUAGUCCACGCCGUAAACGUUGGGCGCUAGAUGUAGGGACCUUUCCACGGUUUCUGUGUCGUAGCUAACGCAUUAAGCGCCCCGCCUGGGGAGUACGGCCGCAAGGCUAAAACUCAAAGGAAUUGACGGGGGCCCGCACAAGCGGCGGAGCAUGCGGAUUAAUUCGAUGCAACGCGAAGAACCUUACCAAGGCUUGACAUGCACCGGAAACGGCCAGAGAUGGUCGCCCCUUGUGGUCGGUGUACAGGUGGUGCAUGGUUGUCGUCAGCUCGUGUCUGAGAUGUUGGUUAAGUCCCGAACGAGCGCACCCUCGUUCAUGUUGCAACCCGUAUGGCGGGACUCUAGAAAUGCCGGGUCAAUCGAAGAAGGGGGAU